rnacentral:rRNA from 1 species
GUAUGGUGCAAGCGUUAUCCGGAUUUACUGGGUGUAAAGGGAGCGUAGACGGAGAGGCAAGUCUGAAGUGAAAGCCCGGGGCUCAACCCCGGGACUGCUUUGGAAACUGCAGUUCUAGAGUGCCGGAGAGGUAAGCGGAAUUCCUAGUGUAGCGGUGAAAUGCGUAGAUAUUAGGAGGAACACCAGUGGCGAAGGCGGCUUACUGGACGGUGACUGACGUUGAGGCUCGAAAGCGUGGGGAGCAAACAGGAUUAGAUACCCUGGUAGUCCACGCCGUAAACGAUGACUACUAGGUGUCGGUGAGCAAAGCUCAUCGGUGCCGCAGCCAACGCAAUAAGUAGUCCACCUGGGGAGUACGUUCGCAAGAAUG